rnacentral:lncRNA from 1 species
ACAGGGAAAUGUAUUGCUCUCUUAAGUCUGCACAUCUAUGCCGAAAUAUAUUUAUCCAUUAAGCCAUUAAUAAUGCAGUAUUUCUAUCAUUACGUCAAGAUCCGGGUUAGUUGAUAUGUAAAUAUCUCUUAAUGUGAAAUUCAAAAUAAAUUAUGAUGUCUAUGAUUAGAACUUUUAGUCUAUGACCUAUUUGAUUAGUCAGGUGAUCUGUCUAACAUUUCCUCAACCGACAAUUCUGUAGGAUUUUUCGUCCUUAGAUAGGUGCACUUUUGAAUUCCUUCGAGAAUUUCGGCAUUUUUCCGAUUUGUCAUUUGUUUGUGUUCUUCCUCUUUUAUAUACGUUAUGAUAUGACGCUCCUCGUAGACGUUAGUGGUAUUAAUGGUUUUUGGGUAUCCUUUGGUUUAACUCGCGUUUUAAACGUAUCAUCUGACGUUCGUAUUUUUCCAUUUCCGGUGAACUAUCACGUGAU